rnacentral:rRNA from 1 species
UUUUAUGAGAGUUUGAUCCUGGCUCAGGACGAACGCUGGCGGCGUGCCUAAUACAUGCAAGUCGAACGCCUCUUUUUCCACCGGAGCUUGCUCCACCGGAAAAAGAGGAGUGGCGAACGGGUGAGUAACACGUGGGUAACCUGCCCAUCAGAAGGGGAUAACACUUGGAAACAGGUGCUAAUACCGUAUAACAAUCAAAACCGCAUGGUUUUGAUUUGAAAGGCGCUUUCGGGUGUCGCUGAUGGAUGGACC